rnacentral:lncRNA from 1 species
UUUUUUUUUUUUUUUUUUUUUUUUUUAGUCAACACGGUUUCCUGUGCAUCAGCAUUUGGCCCUCAUGAAACAAAGAGGCAAAAUGCCAUCUUCCAGGAUGAGAAGGUAUAUGUGUACGUGGUAGCUGUGGGCAAGGGCUGUAAAAUCAGACAAAGCUGAAUGCAAGGCUCCCUGAAUUCCCUGUGUACUAGAGCAUACACUGACUUUCUCAGGGAGCCUGCAUUAAAAUGGGGAAGGGAAAUUAAACUAUCCAAUAUACAAAGAAUCACUUACUUUUAAAGUGAAGUGGGGGUAAACUAAUGAUACAGAUGGCAUGGGACAGUUACACAGGCAGCUGUAGAAGUCCCAGUAGUGUUACGGCAGCUGCCCAGCAGCCCUGCGCCAGAGUGUAUCGGCUCUAGCCACAGCCCUGUGGCUGUCGUGUACCAGCUCCAGCAGCUCUGUGGCUGCAGGGUCUCAGCUCUUUUACCCGGUGAGAAACCAAGUGAGCACUUGGAGAGGUGGAGAACUCAGGUUUAUCACGCCGGGGGGCUCAAGAGGAGAUGGCUCUCUGGAGUUUGAGCCCCGAAGAAGGGUCUCCCAAGGCUUUUGUGGGCUCCCUCUUCCGGGUCCCUGCUUGGCUGGUUGGACCAGAGUGAGGUCAGGCAAGGUAGUGGAUGCGGAAGCAAGUUUACAGAAGCAGAUGCGUCGGGGAGGGACGGUUGGGGGCAGUUGGCUGGACUUUGCUUCGUCAUCCUGCCCGGGGUCUCUCCUUUCUACAUUUUUACUGGGACAUUCUCUCCUACAGUAGGAGACCAAAGAUAGAGAGGGAACCCUGGGGGACUUUGGGAGAUCACUGAAAGUUCACAGUCCCUUGAGAAAGCCAUCAGAAUGUCAUGGAACAAAGCAGGCUUGCUGAAUUAUGAAACCAUAGAUAAAAGCACAAGAUAUGCCUCAGAUCAUUAAGUGAAAGACAAAAUGAGGCCUGCAUUCAAAUAGCUCUUGGGGCAACAGCAAAAGAAGGGGUCCUAAGGAAGUUCCCUUACGGUGGCUGUCGGUUAAGGAUCUGGCAGUGCCGCAGCUGGGACGCAGGUUCGAUCCCUGGCCUGGGAACAUCCACAUGCCUUGGGUGCGGCCAAAUAAAGGGAGGGGGGGUAGUUAUUUUGGAAAGGAUUUUAUAUUCUUUUUAAAAGCAUCAUCAUAGUUAUGGUGGGAAAAUCAGAAUUGAGAAGACUUUAGUUAUGAUAUGCUUUAGGUUGUUUUUUUUUUUUUUUAAUUUCUAAAUACAGCGAAACACAAGUUCGCGCCGAGCACUCCCGAACGUAUUGCAACAAAGGCAAAGAGGCGGAGAGCGGCUCCAUUUACUGAGAUGGGGAAUUCGGAGGAAGGAGCAGGAGGGGUUGAAGUAAGAAGUUGAGGCGGGGAGAACUGGACAGUCCAGCCUCGCACACACUAAGACAGGGAAGUGGAGGCGCAGACCUGUGGAAAGCAACAUAAUGUCUUUUCUAUCAAAGGAAACCUUGGUGACUCCAGUUUGCUGCGGCUUCUGCUGAAUCAACCCUGCGACCCCCCUCCUCUUUCCCUCUUCUCUCAGUAACAACGUGUUUCAAAUUAGCCAACGGGGAAGAAUGUGUGCCCUGACCCGACCCAUGGGGAAGGGGACAGGUCCAUCACCUGCGUUAAGGAUGAAGCGGGGAGGGUCCUUUGUUGGGUGCGCACACUUUUUGGAGCGCCCGCGCCCUUCUGCAGAAGUAAAGAGCCUUGUCGAGAUUUCUCCUUGUCCACGUGUCUCACUUUCCGACACUGAUGACCCGAGCCAGUUACUGUAAUUUCCAACCGAACUGAGCAGGCAAUCGGUGAGCAGAAGCUCCAGAUGGAGGCAGCCCUUUGGGGGUGGCCUGGCUCUGUGUCGGGAUCACAGCCUGGGGAAAGGCUGCUGGGUGAAAGCCUGGAAACUGACCACAAGGUGAGAAGGAAAGAGAGGCUAGGAUGAGUUGCGAGGAAAGCUAAAAUCCAAUCACCCAGCCACAGAUGAGGAAGCUGAAAAGGAGGGAGGGUGACCAGAGAGGAAGCGCCUGCAGCAUGAGGUCUCGACAGGACAGAACCGUGUGGGCCAUCUUGUCACAUGACGCUGAGAAGGGACGUGAGAUGAAAACUGUCCCCUGGGGUUUGCCAGGCAGAAGUCACCUGCGGUGCUGCACACAGCUGUUUGGUAGAGGGAGGGAGGAAGGGACCGCGCAGCAGUAGUUGGCGAGUGGGGGACAGUGAAGGAAAGAAGCGCGGGCGAGCGCUUUAGCGACAAGAGAGAUGGGAGGGGAGGGAGAUGGCAGGUGGAGGAGGACGGGAGGCAGCUGGAGGGCUUUGGUUAAGCUUGGAGAGAUGUGCGAGUUCUGAGGGGCGGACUGAAUAGAAGGGGGAGAAAACACAGAUUAGGGAGAGUGAAGGAAGAAUCAGUAACGUUAGGGAGGAAGAGAUGGCAUCCAGAUCUCAUGCGAAGGGACUGGCCUCAGCCCUUGGUGAGAAGAGACACUAUUUCCAGCACAACAAGAGGAAACGGAGAAUGCGUCCUUCCACAAUAUGCUACCAC